rnacentral:rRNA from 1 species
AGCGAACGCUGGCGGCAGGCCUAACACAUGCAAGUCGAACGAAGUCUUCGGACUUAGUGGCGGACGGGUGAGUAACACGUGGGAACGUGCCUUUAGGUUCGGAAUAACUCAGGGAGACUUGUGCUAAUACCGAAUGUGCCCUUCGGGGGAAAGAUUUAUCGCCUUUAGAGCGGCCCGCGUCUGAUUAGCUAGUUGGUGAGGCAAAGGCUCACCAAGGCGACGAUCAGUAGCUGGUCUGAGAGGAUGAUCAGCCACAUUGGGACUGAGACACGGCCCAAGCUCCUACGGGAGGCAGCAGUGGGGAAUCUUGCGCAAUGGGCGAAAGCCUGACGCAGCCAUGCCGCGUGAAUGAUGAAGGUCUUAGGAUUGUAAAAUUCUUUCACCGGGGACGAUAAUGACGGUACCCGGAGAAGAAGCCCCGGCUAACUUCGUGCCAGCCGCCGCCGUAAAAC